ACAUAGGGGGCAAGCGUUAUUCGGAAUUAUUGGGCGUAAAGGGCGCGUAGGCGGAUUCUUAAGUGAGAUGUGUAAUCCCCGGGCUUAACCUGGGAACUGCAUCUCAUACUGGGGGGCUAGAGUACUGGAGAGGGUGGUAGAAUUCCACGUGGAGCGGUGAAAUGCGUCGAGAUGUGGAGGAAUACCAGUGGCGAAGGCGGCCAACUGGACAGUAAUGGACGCUGAGGCGCGAAAGUGUGGGGAGAAAACUG
rnacentral:rRNA from 1 species